rnacentral:rRNA from 1 species
CCCGGUGAUAUUUUAACGGCCGCAGUUAAGAGCUGUGCUAAGGUAGCGUAGUCAGUUGUCCUUUAAAUGGGGAAAGGAAUGAAUGGUUUGACGUGAGAAAAUCGGUCUCUAAUAAAAGAGAAGAAAUUUUCUUUUUGGUGAAAAGCCCAAAAUUUAAUUAAAAGACGAGAAGACCCUUUCGAGCUUAAUUAGACCUUAAAAAUUUUUAAGGGGAAAAUUUGGUUGGGGCAACCUAGGAGUAAAAUAAGACUCCUUUAAGUUAUAGAGAGCCAAAAAUUUUGAAAAGAGAAAAAGCUACCGUAGGGAUAACAGCGUUAUCUUUUCUGAGAGAACAUAUUGAAGAAAAG